CAGUCGCCGCGGGAAAACGGAGGGAGCUAGCGUUAUUCGGAAUUACUGGGCGUAAAGCGCACGUAGGCGGCUUUGUAAGUUAGAGGUGAAAGCCUGGAGCUCAACUCCAGAAUUGCCUUUAAGACUGCAUCGCUUGAAUCCAGGAGAGGUGAGUGGAAUUCCGAGUGUAGAGGUGAAAUUCGUAGAUAUUCGGAAGAACACCAGUGGCGAAGGCGGCUCACUGGACUGGUAUUGACGCUGAGGUGCGAAAGCGUGGGGAGCAAACAGGAUUAGAUACCCGUGUAGUCCCUGUCUCUUAUAU
rnacentral:rRNA from 1 species